GAAAUGUAAAAGCCAUUAAUCCUCAAAUGUCUACUCAACAGGUGAGUUAUUAGGAAAGUCAUUUUUUUUAAAACAGGGAAUGAAUAAAAGUCAAGAGAAUGCUUAGAAGGAUUAGGGAAUGGAUUGAAGCAACUUUUCCUGGCUAUGUACUUUUUUGCCAUGUCCCUAAAGGGGCUCAGUAGUUUGCAACCUAAGUGCCAUUGUUCCUUCUCAACCCAACUGCACUGAAUUCGUGAAGAGGAAGAGGAUUUUCAAGGUGAAUAAUGUUAAAGACCCUGUCAGCUGAUUUCGUUGCAGGAGCCAUUCGUAAACAGGAAAGCAUGCCACUGCUGUGAGGGUCAACAUGAAGUCUCUGAGCACAUCCCAAUUGCAUACCCCAAAGCCACUGAUUCAACAGGUAAUCCUUGGAUUGACACUACGCUGUGCCUUUUCAGAGAAAUAAUCACUAGGACAUGUGAUUGUCCUCAGUCGGAAAAGGUUGGCUUGCCCACUUCAGGUUGGUGGAGAGUGCCUGCCUGAAGUGGAGGAGUUUAAGUAUCUAGGGGUCUUGUUCACGAGUGAGGGAAGGAUGGAACAGGAGAUUGACAGACGGAUCGGUGCAGCUUCUGCAGUAAUGCGGUCGAUGUAUCGGUCUGUCGUGGUGAAGAAAGGGCUAAUUUGAUUUACCGGUCAAUCUACGUUCCUACUCUCACAU
rnacentral:lncRNA from 1 species